AGUGAACGCUGGCGGUAGGCCUAACACAUGCGAGUCGAACGGCAGCACAGUAAGAGCUUGCUCUUACGGGUGGCGAGUGGCGGACGGGUGAGGAAUACAUCGGAAUCUACUUUUUCGUGGGGGAUAACGUAGGGAAACUUACGCUAAUACCGCAUACGACCUACGGGUGAAAGCAGGGGAUCUUCGGACCUUGCGCGAUUGAAUGAGCCGAUGUCGGAUUAGCUAGUUGGCGGGGUAAAGGCCCACCAAGGCGACGAUCCGUAGCUGGUCUGAGAGGAUGAUCAGCCACACUGGAACUGUGACACGGUCCAGACUCCUACGGGAGGCAGCAGUGGGGAAUAUUGGACAAUGGGCGCAAGCCUGAUCCAGCCAUACCGCGUGGGUGAAGAAGGCCUUCGGGUUGUAAAGCCCUUUUGUUGGGAAAGAAAAGCAGCAGGUUAAUACCCCGCUGUUCUGACGGUACCCAAAGAAUAAGCACCGGCUAACUUCGUG
rnacentral:rRNA from 1 species